rnacentral:misc_RNA from 1 species
CCGAGUUUACAACUCCCAAACCCCAUGUGAACCUUACCACUACGUUGCUUCGGCGGGAUGCCCCGGGCGCGGGCCGCAAGGCCUCAGCCCCGGAACCAGGCGCCCGCCGGAGGCCCAAACCAAACUCUUGUUUUUUGUUAGCAUCUUCUGAGUGGCCUUUUAGGCAAAAAAUGAAUCA